CCUACGGGAGGCAGCAGUAAGGAAUAUUGGUCAAUGGACGGAAGUCUGAACCAGCCAUGCCGCGUGCAGGAUGACGGCCCUCUGGGUUGUAAACUGCUUUUAUAGGGGACGAAAAAAGGGGAUUCUUCCUCACUUGACGGUACCCUAGGAAUAAGCACCGGCUAACUCCGUGCCAGCAGCCGCGGUAAUACGGAGGGUGCAAGCGUUAUCCGGAUUUACUGGGUUUAAAGGGUGCGUAGGUGGGUCGGUAAGUCAGCGGUGAAAUCUUCGAGCUUAACUCGGAAACUGCCAUUGAUACUAUCGAUCUUGAAUCGUCUAGAGGUAAGCGGAAUAUGUCAUGUAGCGGUGAAAUGCUUAGAUAUGACAUAGAACACCAAUUGCGAAGGCAGCUUACUAUGGAUGUAUUGACACUGAGGCACGAAAGCGUGGGGAUCAAACAGGAUUAGAUACCCUGGUAGUCCACGCCCUAAACGAUGGAUACUCGACAUUUGAGAUAUACUUUAAGUGUCUGAGCGAAAGCAUUAAGUAUCCCACCUGGAAGUACGAUCGCAAGAUUGAAACUCAAAGGAAUUGACGGCUGAGACGAGCGAGACGACGACGAGGGAGGAGG
rnacentral:rRNA from 1 species